UACGUAGGGUGCAAGCGUUGUCCGGAAUUAUUGGGCGUAAAGAGCUCGUAGGCGGUCUGUCGCGUCGGUUUGUGAAAAACUCGGGGCUCAACCCCGAGCCUGCAAUCGAUACGGGCAGACUAGAGUGCUGUAGGGGAGACUGGAAUUCCUGGUGUAGCGGUGAAAUGCGCAGAUAUCAGGAGGAACACCGAUUGCGAAGGCAGCUCGCUGGGACGUUACUGACGCUGAGACGCGAAAGCGUGGGGAGCAAACAGG
rnacentral:rRNA from 1 species